UCUUUUCUUUUGAUAGGAGAGUUUUUAAACCAGUGUUAUUUUUGUAAGUUUAAGAGAAGUUUGUGUAUUGAAUUUUUAAUAUUAAAGAGCUUUGUUAAACUUAGACUUAAGUUUAGGUCAUUUUGGGGGUUUAGCUCAGUUGGCUAGAGCAUCGGCUUUGCAAGCCGAGGGUCAAGGGUUCGAGUCCCUUAACCUCCAUUGGGCUUAUGUCCUAAAUUGUAAUUAAGUAUGUUUUUAAGCAACUUUAUUAAAGUAAUUGUUGGAAUGUGAAACAGAGGAAGUUAAAAUUUCUGGGUUAAGUUGAGAUCUGUUGAUAUUAAGAAGAAUCUCUAGAAGCAAAAGCAAGCUUUCGAUAAAACCCGAAGUUGUUUCGCUAAAGUGCAAGGAUUAAACAGGAUUGUAUUUUCCAGUAGCCUAUUUUAUAAACGAUCUGCAUUUAGUAAAUAGUUUUUAGUUAGGAAAUAAUGUAUAUUGCUAAGUGUGAUGUC
rnacentral:misc_RNA from 1 species